rnacentral:rRNA from 1 species
GAUGAACGCUGGUGGCGUGCUUAACACAUGCAAGUCGAACGGUGAAGCAGAGCUUGCUCUGUGGAUCAGUGGCGAACGGGUGAGUAACACGUGAGCAACCUGCCCCUGACUCUGGGAUAAGCGCUGGAAACGGCGUCUAAUACUGGAUAUGAGCUGCGACCGCAUGGUCAGCAGUUGGAAAGAUUUUUCGGUCUGGGAUGGGCUCACGGCCUAUCAGCUUGUUGGUGAGGUAAUGGCUCACCAAGGCGCCGACGGGUAGCCGGCCUGAGAGGGUGACCGGCCACACUGGGACUGAGACACGGCCCAGACUCCUACGGGAGGCAGCAGUGGGGAAUAUUGCACAAUGGGCGAAAGCCUGAUGCAGCAACGCCGCGUGAGGGAUGACGGCCUUCGGGUUGUAAACCUCUUUUAGCAGGGAAGAAGCGAAAGUGACGGUACCUGCAGAAAAAGCGCCGGCUAACUACGUG